rnacentral:rRNA from 1 species
GAUAUUGGGCGUAAGAGCUCGUAGGCGGUUUGUCGCGUCUGCUGUGAAAUCCCGAGGCUCAACCUCGGGUCUGCAGUGGGUACGGGCAGACUAGAGUGCGGUAGGGGAGAUUGGAAUUCCUGGUGUAGCGGUGGAAUGCGCAGAUAUCAGGAGGAACACCGAUGGCGAAGGCAGAUCUCUGGGCCGUUACUGACGCUGAGGAGCGAAAGGGUGGGGAGCAAACAGGCUUAGAUACCCUGGUAGUCCACCCCGUAAACGUUGGGAACUAGUUGUGGGGUCCAUUCCACGGAUUCCGUGACGCAGCUAACGCAUUAAGUUCCCCGCCUGGGGAGUACGGCCGCAAGGCUAAAACUCAAAGGAAUUGACGGGGACCCGCACAAGCGGCGGAGCAUGCGGAUUAAUUCGAUGCAACGCGAAGAACCUUACCAAGGCUUGACAUAUACGAGAACGGGCCAGAAAUGGUCAACUCUUUGGACACUCGUAAACAGGUGGUGCAUGGUUGUCGUCAGCUCGUGUCGUGAGAUGUUGGGUUAAGUCCCGCAACGAGCGCAACCCUCGUUCUAUGUUGCCAGCACGUAAUGGUGGGAACUCAUGGGAUACUGCCGGGGUCAACUCGGAGGAAGGUGGGGAUGACGUCAAAUCAUCAUGCCCCUUAUGUCUUGGGCUUCACGCAUGCUACAAUGGCCGGUACAAAGGGCUGCAAUACCGCGAGGUGGAGCGAAUCCCAAAAAGCCGGUCCCAGUUCGGAUUGAGGUCUGCAACUCGACCUCAUGAAGUCGGAGUCGCUAGUAAUCGCAGAUCAGCAACGCUGCGGUGAAUACGUUCCCGGGUCUUGUACACACCGCCCGUCAAGUCAUGAAAGUCGGUAACACCUGAAGCCGGUGGCCCAACCCUUGUGGAGGGAGCCGUCGAAGGUGGGAUCGGUAAUUAGGAUAGUACACAAGAAG